AUGAUCAAGCUAUUGGCAGCCACUGUAGCAUGAGUUAGCUCCCCGGCUGAGGAGCUAACUCACAUGGUGUAGCAGACCUCUCCUGUCUCACCUGCUGCUCCCCUCAGCAGUGUAUUCCAGUAGAUCUGCCUGUUCUGCUCCCCACUCUGUCCCUGCUUGCACAUCUCUCAAAAAUUAGAGACUGGAAGAUGGGCAGCCACCAAGAAUAAUAGGCACAACCAAACAAAUCUAUCACCAAGGAUUUUACAGUGUUAAUCUUCUGUAAGAUGGAACUUAUAAUGGGACCAAAGAAAGAGUUCCUGAAGAAAGAGAAAAUGAAUUCACAUGAAAACAAGUUAUCAUGGCCUUUGAUGGGACCAUCUCUGUUCAUGACAUAUGGUUGAAGGCAAAUGUGACUUUUUCAAGACAGAUGCAACCUAAUGAAUAUCCAUACUGGAUCACUAAUGUUCUUCUGGGUAAAGUCUUCCGACACAUGAAAUGCUGAAAAAACUUCCUUUCUCUAGAGAACUGUGGAGCUAAACAGUUCUGCUAUAACAACUGUAAAGUACUCCGAAUUAUCUCUUUAGGUGUUUAGUUAUAAAAAUUAGUACAUAAGCAAGUCCUAUAAGUGAGAGUGCAUUACAUAUU